rnacentral:rRNA from 1 species
GACUAAGCGUACACGGUGGAUGCCCUGGCAGUCAGAGGCGAUGAAGGACGUGCUAAUCUGCGAUAAGCGUCGGUAAGGUGAUAUGAACCGUUAUAACCGGCGAUUUCCGAAUGGGGAAACCCAGUGUGUUUCGACACACUAUCAUUAACUGAAUCCAUAGGUUAAUGAGGCGAACCGGGGGAACUGAAACAUCUAAGUACCCCGAGGAAAAGAAAUCAACCGAGAUUCCCCCAGUAGCGGCGAGCGAACGGGGAGCAGCCCAGAGCCUGAAUCAGUAUGUGUGUUAGUGGAAGCGUCUGGAAAGGCGCGCGAUACAGGGUGACAGCCCCGUACACAAAAAUGCACAUGCUGUGAGCUCGAUGAGUAGGGCGGGACACGUGGUAUCCUGUCUGAAUAUGGGGGGACCAUCCUCCAAGGCUAAAUACUCCUGACUGACCGAUAGUGAACCAGUACCGUGAGGGAAAGGCGAAAAGAACCCCGGCGAGGGGAGUGAAAAAGAACCUGAAACCGUGUACGUACAAGCAGUGGGAGCACGCUUAGGCGUGUGACUGCGUACCUUUUGUAUAAUGGGUCAGCGACUUAUAUUCUGUAGCAAGGUUAACCGAAUAGGGGAGCCGAAGGGAAACCGAGUCUUAACUGGGCGUUAAGUUGCAGGGUAUAGACCCGAAACCCGGUGAUCUAGCCAUGGGCAGGUUGAAGGUUGGGUAACACUAACUGGAGGACCGAACCGACUAAUGUUGAAAAAUUAGCGGAUGACUUGUGGCUGGGGGUGAAAGGCCAAUCAAACCGGGAGAUAGCUGGUUCUCCCCGAAAGCUAUUUAGGUAGCGCCUCGUGAAUUCAUCUCCGGGGGUAGAGCACUGUUUCGGCAAGGGGGUCAUCCCGACUUACCAACCCGAUGCAAACUGCGAAUACCGGAGAAUGUUAUCACGGGAGACACACGGCGGGUGCUAACGUCCGUCGUGAAGAGGGAAACAACCCAGACCGCCAGCUAAGGUCCCAAAGUCAUGGUUAAGUGGGAAACGAUGUGGGAAGGCCCAGACAGCCAGGAUGUUGGCUUAGAAGCAGCCAUCAUUUAAAGAAAGCGUAAUAGCUCACUGGUCGAGUCGGCCUGCGCGGAAGAUGUAACGGGGCUAAACCAUG